rnacentral:rRNA from 1 species
CAGUAGCCGCGGUAAUGCGGAGGGAGUUAGCGUUGUUCGGAAUUACUGGGCGUAAAGCGCACGUAGGCGGCUUUGUAAGUCAGAGGUGAAAUCCUGGAGCUCAACUCCAGAACUGCCUUUGAUACUGAAGAUCUUGAGUUCGGGAGAGGUGAGUGGAACUGCGAGUGUAGAGGUGAAAUUCGUAGAUAUUCGCAAGAACACCAGUGGCGAAGGCGGCUCACUGGCCCGAUACUGACGCUGAGGCACGAAAGCGUGGGGAGCAAACAGGAUUAGAUACCCCGGUAGUCCCUGUCUCUUAUAC